rnacentral:rRNA from 1 species
AAGUGGAUUAGCGGCGGACGGGUGAGUAACACGUGAGUAACCUGCCUUAGACAUUAGGAUAGCCUCGGAAACCGGGAUUAAUACCAAAUAAAAUCAUAAUGACACAUGUCAUAACGAUCAAAACUCCGGUGGUCUAAGAUGGACUCGCGUCCCAUUAGCUAGUUGGUAGAGUAAAAGCCUACCAAGGCGACGAUGGGUAGCCGGCCUGAGAGGGUGAACGGCCACAUUGGAACUGAGAAACGGUCCAA